rnacentral:lncRNA from 1 species
UAUUUAUGAUUCAAUUGGUUUCACAUUAAUUGGAUAAAUGUGAUUUUGUGAAUGUAAUAAAGAACUUAUAUUUUUCUUAUGAGAUGAAAAUAUUUUUCUACCCCUCAUGGUAGCGUGUUUUAAAAGAAAAGGUUUCUGUAUGGAAAACGGUUUUAGAAAAAAAAGGGUUUUCUGGCUUUCGUGAUUAUUAGUGUUUCAAAAUGAGUUUCCAGGUAGGAAACGCUUUAAACUAAUAGAUGUGAAAUUAUGAUUAUUCUGUGAUGGAAUGAAUGAAAAAUGUGAUGUGGUAAAUGUAUGUGAAUGUACAUGUAUGUUCAUACUGUUGUGGUUGUAUAUAUCUCGUACUUGUGCGACGCCAUGCAAAUACAGGGAAGACUCUGUCCGUAUGAACAGUGGAUACCAUGUAUUUGUGGGGUAUCUGACAUCCUCUGGGGCCAAGAUUUUC